rnacentral:lncRNA from 1 species
AUCCCCGGAUUCGGCCCUGGCACGGAGUGGGCGCAGGGUUCCAGACCAGUAGCUAGAGGCCAUGGAUGGGGGCGGCCCCUAACUCUUCCCUUCUUCCGCCCUCACCCGCAGGGCCAUCUGGGGUCUCAGCUUUGCCCAGGAACUCGGAGGAGGGAAGCCGGGAACGUCGGGUCGGCAUGCCUUCCUACAGGCCCUGCUGGAGAUGAUACAAACAACGGGAGGAAGAGAGGAGAGAUCCAAGAAUCAACACUCCUCCUGCUGCUCCAUCCAUCACUGCCCCUCACCUUCUGUGAAGGGCCCCAACACAAGCCCUGCUUCAUACCCUCUUCAAUCAGGACUCAAGUCACAGAAAGGUUACCUGAUUCUUUUAUUUAAGAAAAGUGAAAUACA